UCCCAGGUGGGUUGGAGGUGGGUCGAGGAGGCCUGGCGGGAUGGCAGGCUGCCGCGUCCUCCACUGGAACCUGAGGUGUCACGCGGGCAGGUGCGGGCGGGAUCAGGGUUUAUGAGGUAUCUUGGGGACACUAGGAGGAGGCCCCAUAGGCUGCAGACACGUGGGUGGGCAAGCCCCCACCGGGCAGAUGUGGGGGACACCGGGUGUGGGCAAUCCCCCCAGCUUCUUGGGAGGGAGGAGGAAACAAAACCAAAUUCUUCAGAACCCUUAAAUUUGGGGGAUGGGUAGAGCAGGGCCAGACUGGACGCUGAACCUUGGGGCCUACAGCUCGGCCAUCAGACCCAGGGUCCAGAGGUGGGCAGUACAGAACAAAGUCCCUCAGGAUGUGCCAAAGGAGAAAGCAUCGCCAAAUUGGCAGGUGAAACACAGCCUGUCAUGCUCCCAGCAAGAUGGCACCAUGGCCAGGACACAGAGUACAGGCAGGAGACACUUUGCAAAUGGACGUUGUAAGGUCUGACUGCGCCUUGGACGGCAUGGUGACCCCAUGAACCGCACGUACACCUCCAGAGGGCCUCUUGGAAUGAGAAAACCUGAAGUAGCUGGAAGGAAGAACGAUCAACCCCUGGGGCGCCUAACAAACCUAAGACCAUCCUCUACUGUUUCUUAUUCCGGCCUCAACUGACAAGGCCACUGGACUUUGUAACUGACCUUGGCCCAACCUCCUGACUCCACACCCUAUGACCCCCUCCCAGCUUGCAAAAAACUGCCAACUGUAGCUUCUGUAACUUUGCACUGUCCAUCCCAAACCUAUAAAACCCAGCUCUUAUCCCACCCCCCUUCGCUGACACCCUUUCGGCCUCAGCCUGCCUGCACCCAGGUGAAUAAUCAGCCAUGUUGCUCACACAAAGCCUGUUUGGGGAUCUCUUCACUCAGAGUGCGUACGUUUAAACAGACGUUUCCUUUGUGAAUAUGAAAUUACCUUACAGAGGGAAACUACUCUGUUUACAGAACUCCUGUGUCCACGUUUUCUCAAAAUAACCAGCUCACAAUAAUCCUUAUGCUAAAGUGGUGAUGUAUUUUUGGUUUCCCACAGAUGUAGACGGCUCUCGGGGAACUACAGCUUGUAGCUUUCUUCUACACUUUUUCUCCUCAAAUUUCCUACAAUGAACAUGUACUUAAAUUAUCUGGAAAAAUCGUGUUCUCUAAGAAUAAACAAGCAUUUUUAUUAAAGAGAGAGAGAUUGACUGGGGAGAGGAGAGUGACCUCCUCCCACACCCGACUCAGACCUCCUCGAGGUCCCUGGUCUGUGCCAGGCUGAGACACCCGUGGCUCAGAGGGUAAGGCUGUGGAUCCCCUGAAGGCAUCACCUCUCCCCUCCAGUGAUAUUCUCAGUUCCAGAGAGACUCCCGCCUCCCGGUCACCCUGGUCAGCCUCAUCCCUACUCAGUCCUUCCUCGCCUGUACCCUGGACGCCCCCUCCAGUUAUUUUUGAGAAUAGUUCAGUAGCAAGCAGGUGGGACAUGGGCACCCCCUCACUGUCCUGGGUGAAGCAGGGGGCCCUGGAUGUUCCCAGGGCAUCUAGCAAGGCCACAGCUCCUGCAUUCAGCACAGCUCCUGCACUCAGCACAGCUCCUGCACACCUCCCAUGCCAGCUUCCCCUUUAUAAGCCCUUGCCUUCUCCCUAGGAAUUGGAAGUGGUUGCUUUGGAUGGCAAUGCGGCCACUUGCCCAUGACUAGUUUUGGGUAAUAAAGUUACUUUCUUUUUUUUUU